rnacentral:lncRNA from 1 species
GCAUCAUUGAACGGCAAAACAAGGUUGUCAUAACUGACAGGAUGUGGGCGAGGCUUCUUUCUUCGACAAAUCAACCAAGUUUCUUGGGUCCUAAAGCUGUCGUAGCAGCCAAAACAGAGGAAGUGCCUCCAACUCAAUUGCUGGAUGAUGCUGAUCAGAAAACAAACUAAAUGAAUCCACCGGCAUUUCGUAUUUUACGGGGGUUGGUUUGUUAGGAUAUAUCGGCUGUUGUGGGUACUGACUAUUUGAUUUUGAUGUUUUAUAUUAGAGGAAAUUAAGCCCAAAAUGUUUUAUUUAGAUGUAUGCAACAAUUAUUCUGUAUCGUCUUUGGAUAUCAUGUAAACUAGUCUGUAUCAUUUUUGAAUAAUAAUGCGAUAGCAUCGCCAUUGGAAGUUCUACGGUUUUGUACCAUAUCAAACAAGUACUUGAAAAGUCUCUU